rnacentral:lncRNA from 1 species
CUUGUAUAAAUGGAGAUAACUAUUUACUUCACAAUAUUGUUUUGAAGAUUGAGUGAGCUAUUUCAUGUAAAACAUUAAACAUGACAUGUAGUAAGCAUUUGAGAAGUAUUAGCUAUAGAUAGAGGCUGCUACAAGUGUAGGCUAGUGCUGAUUUUUUUUUUUUUUUUUUUUUUUUUUGCUACCGGGUAUCAAACUGGGAUCUUUGCGUUUGCGCAGCAGGUGGUGAAACCACUGAACUAAAUCCCCAGCCCUGCUAGUGCUGAUUUUGAAAAGCUGUCCGAAGAGUCUAGAAACCAGGAGAGCUACCUGCUGUAAACAGCCAUCCUGGAGGCAUUUGCUGAGCACGGAGAAACCCGGGAGAGAUCAACAGUUCUGUUUCACACACACACACCCACCCCUUGAUCUAUCCGAUUUACCUACAGAGAGCCAGCCAGAAUCAUCUUCUAAGAAUCUUUGGGCCCAGAACAGAGACCUUAAGGGUCAGAGGACUGUGAUGCUUAACAUUUAAACUUGCUCAAGACUUUAGAGUUGAAAGGGAUUAACAGUAUCCCUAGCAUGACCUUCUAGAUCAGAAUAGACUGGCAACUUUUAUACAUGACAUUCCCAUGCUGUCUUUCCCUUCAGCCUCCUGCAAAAUUUGCUGAACACUCUACCACCACCUCCUUUUCCUCCCUGCUACACCUGUGUUGUGGGUGUUAGCCUGGCCGCCCUUGGUCUCUUCCAGAGAGAGAAUAGUCACUUCCUCUUGUAACAAGCUAAGGAAAACUAAGUGAGAAGGUUCAUUUACUUUGGGUAAGCAAUUUAACCUCUGAGCCUGUUUUUCUUUUCAUUGUUCAUUACUUGUCCAAAAAGCUCCUAUAAGACAGGGGUUUUUUCUACUUCAUUUCUGUACCAUGUUCCUUCCCAACAAGUAUCUGACCCCAAGGAGCUCAAUAAAGGUUUGGUCAAGUGAUGAGUGGUCUCCCUCUGGUAG